GGGACACGUGGUAUCCUGUCUGAAUAUGGGGGGACCAUCCUCCAAGGCUAAAUACUCCUGACUGACCGAUAGUGAACCAGUACCGUGAGGGAAAGGCGAAAAGAACCCCGGCGAGGGGAGUGAAAAAGAACCUGAAACCGUGUACGUACAAGCAGUGGGAGCCUCUUAAUGGGGUGACUGCGUACCUUUUGUAUAAUGGGUCAGCGACUUAUAUUCUGUAGCAAGGUUAACCGAAUAGGGGAGCCGAAGGGAAACCGAGUCUUAACUGGGCGUUAAGUUGCAGGGUAUAGACCCGAAACCCGGUGAUCUAGCCAUGGGCAGGUUGAAGGUUGGGUAACACUAACUGGAGGACCGAACCGACUAAUGUUGAAAAAUUAGCGGAUGACUUGUGGCUGGGGGUGAAAGGCCAAUCAAACCGGGAGAUAGCUGGUUCUCCCCGAAAGCUAUUUAGGUAGCGCCUCGUGAAUUCAUCUCCGGGGGUAGAGCACUGUUUCGGCAAGGGGGUCAUCCCGACUUACCAACCCGAUGCAAACUGCGAAUACCGGAGAAUGUUAUCACGGGAGACACACGGCGGGUGCUAACGUCCGUCGUGAAGAGGGAAACAACCCAGACCGCCAGCUAAGGUCCCAAAGUCAUGGUUAAGUGGGAAACG
rnacentral:rRNA from 1 species